rnacentral:rRNA from 1 species
CGCCCAAAAGCUAGCUUAACCACCAAGAACAACAACCCCUCAUUAAUAACCUUAGAAGACCUAAAUAUCAACAAUAAAACAUUUUACCGCCCAAGUAUAGGAGAUAGAAAAGGCCCCCGUAAAGCGACAGAUAAAGUACCGCAAGGGAACGCUGAAAGAGAAAUGAAACAACCCAUAGAAGCCUAAAAAAGCAGAGAUUACACCUCGUACCUUUUGCAUCAUGAUUUAGCCAGAAGCCCUCAAGCAAAAAGUGUUAUAGUUUGAAACCCCGAAACUAGGUGAGCUACUCCAAGGCAGCCCAUAAAAGGGGCACACCCGUCUCUGUGGCAAAAGAGUGGGAGGACCUUCGAGUAGGGGUGACAGACCUACCGAACCUAGUUAUAGCUGGUUGCCUAGGAAAUGAAUAGAAGUUCAGCCUCAUAUCUUCUUCUCUCACAAGUGUUAACUUGUCUUGACUAAAAGAAAAUACGAGAGUUAGUCAAGGAAGGUACAGCUCCCUUGAAAAAGAUACAACUUUUUAAGAAGGGUAAAGAUCAUAUUAAUAUAAGGCACUAUAUUUUGGUGGGCCUAAAAGCAGCCACCCAACCAGAAAGCGUUAAAGCUCAAAUAUAAAUAAACCCCAUUAUUCUGUUAAUACCAUCUAAACCCUCUAAUUAUACUAGGCCUUCUCAUACAAAUAUGUGAAUGAUUAUGCUAAUAUGAGUAAUAAGAAAAUUCGAGUUUUCUCCUUGCACAUGUGUAAGCCGGAACGGACCCGCCACCGGCACUUAACGACCCCAAUUUAAGAGGGCACUGAGCGGUAAAUUAAACAACUAGAAGAACACUCAACAAUUAACGUUAACCCCACACUGGUGUGCCUACAAGGAAAGAUUAAGAGGGAGGGAAGGAACUCGGCAAACCAAAGCCUCGCCUGUUUACCAAAAACAUCGCCUCUUGCAAAACUAAAGAAUAAGAGGUCCCGCCUGCCCUGUGACUAUAAGUUUAACGGCCGCGGUAUUUUGACCGUGCGAAGGUAGCGCAAUCACUUGUCUCUUAAAUGGAGACCUGUAUGAAUGGCAUCACGAGGGCUUAGCUGUCUCCCUUCCCAAAUCAAUGAAAUUGAUCUCCCCGUGCAGAAGCGGGGAUAAUUACAUAAGACGAGAAGACCCUAUGGAGCUUCAGACACUAAAGCAGCCCAUGUCAAACAACCCCAAUUAAAGGACAAAACUAAUUGGAGUCUGCCCUAAUGUCUUUGGUUGGGGCGACCUCGGGGAAAAGCAAAACCCCCGUGCGGAAUGAGAAUAACUUCUUAUAACCAAGAGUUACAACUCUAAGAAUCAGAAAUUCUGACCAUGAUGAUCCGGCAAAGCCGAUCAACGAACCAAGUUACCCUAGGGAUAACAGCGCAAUCCCCUUUUAGAGCCCAUAUCGACAAGGGGGUUUACGACCUCGAUGUUGGAUCAGGACAUCCUAAUGGUGCAGCCGCUAUUAAGGGUUCGUUUGUUCAACGAUUAAAGUCCUACGUGAUCUGAGUUCAGACCGGAGAAAUCCAGGUCAGUUUCUAUCUAUGAAAUAAUCUUUUUCUAGUACGAAAGGACCGAAAAAGAGAGGCCCCUGCUUAGAGCAUGCCUCAGCCCUACCUGCUGCAGUCAACUAAAGCAGACAAAGGGAUAUAAUCCACUGCCAAAGAGAAUGGCAU